rnacentral:rRNA from 1 species
AUGCUUGUGGUGAUGCAGUGUGCUUGGACGGGAGGGCGCCGGGGUACCAUCUGCAGAGAGGUACCACUUGGAGAGAUGCCGUCGUAUGUCGUGUGCAAGGGUAAGGUUCCCGGAGUCUACGAUGACUGGGAGGAUUGUCGGAGACAGGUUCACCAUUUCAGCAGUAACAGUUACAAAGGGUACACCAUUAGGGCGGAGGCGGAAGCUAGAUACGCACGCUAUCUAGCGGGAGAGAGGAGGGAGCGUUGGAGGAACCGGAUGAACACUAGUUUCAUCGCAAUGAUGCUCAUCGUGAUGACCGCAACUCUCUUCUAUGUGAUGGUAGUUUAG